CUAAAGGCUCUUUUCAGAGCCACCUACGUUUCCGCUAAGAGCAGCU
rfam:Heterocephalus glaber contig143972, whole genome shotgun sequence.